GACAGAGGAUGCAAGCGUUAUCCGGAAUUAUUGGGCGUAAAGCGUUUGUAGGUGGCUUUUCAAGUCCGCCGUCAAAUCCCAGGGCUCAACCCUGGACAGGCGGUGGAAACUGCCAAGCUGGAGUACGGUAGGGGCAGAGGGAAUUUCCGGUGGAGCGGUGAAAUGCAUUGAGAUCGGAAAGAACACCAACGGCGAAAGCACUCUGCUGGGCCGACACUGACGCUGAGAGACGAAAGCUAGGGGAGCAAAUGGG
rnacentral:rRNA from 1 species